rnacentral:lncRNA from 1 species
GGGGUGGGGUGCGGGGCCGGGGAGGAUUCGAGGUGUGGGACAGGGCGAGGACUAUUAGCGGCCGUAUUAAUAUCGCCGUUAUUGCUAUGCGAGGCGCUGCCGCUGUCGCCACGGGCGAUUUAUGCCUCUCCCCGCUCCCACACGCUGCCGAAAGCAGAAACUCGCCAAGAUGCGUCCUGGGGAAAGUCCGUGACGAGGAGGGGCCGAAGAGUGGGAGGAAGGCAGGGCAAAGAAUUGAGCAGAGCCAGACAAGCAGUGACCACAAAGGCUCUCAGGACUCCGCAGGAAGGGGGGGGCACCUUUAGGCGAAUAAGUACGGACAGAAAAAAAAGCCCAAGGUGUCCAAGUGAACAUCUGACUUUUGAGAGGAUUUAUGCUGGGCUGGACAGACAAGCUUUCUAAGUGAUGGACAAAGUCUUAUCCCACGGACUACGGUGUUUCCAGCUAUUGUUCUGCCUUCAGACCCCAGAAUGGGGGCUUUCGACGGGGGAUGUGACUACUGAGAUUCUCCCCCCCCCCCCACCCCCCCACCCCAACCCCCCAUCUGACUACGAUCUGCUCAAAAACAUCAUUUCUACUGCAAGUCUGUUAUUAGUUUGGAGCCCCGGCGCUGAGAUUCCAGGCAAGGAAAGAGGAGAAACUACAGCGGACUUUUCUUUAAGGACUUCUCUGUAGGUGAAGUACUGGGUAGGUUUCUGAAUAUGGACCUCCACUGACUUCUGACAAGCAGAAGUACCUCGGGCUCUGCAAGUAACUCUUCCGAAGUGCAACAUAUUACUUUAACUUUAAACUGGCAGCCGAAAAACCAACGCAUUCAGCAGGUCGUUGCACCUAUACAAGUUGGGCUGCUGCAAGCAGUUUUUGGGCUCCCCGUAUAUUACCAUCUCUACUUGGGAUGCUGCUGAUUUUUUUGCCUUUUAAAUGCGGAUCCCUCGCACCAAAUCAGCAGCAAAUGUUGCAACCCGAGCGGGUUUCCCUUCAAAGGGAGCUCAGGAAAUCUCUUCCAUUUAAAACACUCCCUGGAAGUUACGGCCAUAAAUCACAAAGUUUCGAGACAAGGCGGUAGCGAAAUGGAAAAGGAAAAUACUCUGCUGUAUAAUCCAGGGCAGCCGGGUUUGGUGGGGAAACAGUAAAUAAAGAGAGGAAUAAAGUCACGUUGGGUGAUUUUUUUUGGAGGAGGAAUGGCUCCGAGUGAAUGGGGAGGAGGGAGGAGGGCGCAGGGAAGGGGAGCAGGUAGGAGACAGAGCAAAACUCACCGGUUCCCGGAUGUGUGGUCCAGCAAACACGGGGCUGCGGUGGAGUUUGAGAAAGGAGAAGAACUGAAUCCGGGACCCGACGGGCGCUGUUGGACGGUCUGAGCAUGGGGGAGAAAGGACCUGGUUCGCUCCCACAUCCUUUUUCCAACGCCCCAGAGACGGCCCUCAUGGUUUGGGUGGUUUCUUCCAAAGUGAGAGGUCUGGGGGAGGGGGGACUUGGGUGAGGGUUUGGGUUUUCUCCCCCAAAUAUAAAGCUUUCACCUUUACGAUCCAGAUUUUAUUAUUAGUAUUAUUAUUUCCCCUGAAGAUUCUGGUCGAACUCCGGGUGCUUUUUCCCCAACAGACGGUCUGCGGAGAUUUGCUGUUGAAUAACAAUGGGAAAAGGAUAAGUAUUUAAAGAAAAGAAGUGAUUAAUGAUUUUCUGUAUAAUUCUCGCAUUUUUCUUGGCUUCUGUCUGCUUAUAAUGGCUGUGAACUUUU